rnacentral:rRNA from 1 species
CCUACGGGAGGCAGCAGUGAGGAAUAUUGGUCAAUGGCCGGAAGGCUGAACCAGCCAUGCCGCGUGAAGGUCAGUGCCCUAUGGGCGUUAAAACUCUUUUGUUCGGGAGCAAUAAUGGUCACGGGUGGCCAGACGAGAUUACCGUACGAAUAAGCAACCGCUAACUCCGUGCCAGCAGCCGCGGUAAUACGGAGGAUGCAAGCGUUAUCCGGAUUUAUUGGGUGUAAAGGGCGUGCAGGCGGGAAGGCAAGUCAGAUGUGAAAGCCUGCGGCUUAACCGUAGAACUGCAUUUGAAACUGUUAAUCUUGAGUACAGGAGAGGCAGGCGGAAUUCGUGGUGUAGCGGUGAAAUGCGUAGAUAUUAGGAGGAACACCAGUGGCGAAGGCGGUCUGCUGGACUGUAACUGACGGUGAGGCGCGAAAGCGUGGGGAGCAAACAGGAUUAGAUACCCCAGUAGUC